GACGAACGCUGGCGGCGUGCCUAAUACAUGCAAGUCGAGCGAGCGGAACUAACAGAUUUACCUCGGUAAUGACGUUAGGAAAGCGAGCGGCGGAUGGGUGAGUAACACGUGGGGAACCUGCCCCAUAGUCUGGGAUACCACUUGGAAACAGGUGCUAAUACCGGAUAAGAAAGCAGAUCGCAUGAUCAGCUUUUAAAAGGCGGCGUAAGCUGUCGCUAUGGGAUGGCCCCGCGGUGCAUUAGCUAGUUGGUAAGGUAAAGGCUUACCAAGGCGAUGAUGCAUAGCCGAGUUCAGGGCCAGAUCGGCCACAUUGGUAGUGAGACACGGCCGACACUCCUACGGGAGGCAGCAGUAGGGAAUCUUACACGAGGGAGGAAAGUCUGAUGGAGCACCGCCGCGUGAGUGAAGAAGGUGUUCGGACCGUAAAGCUCUGUUGUUGGUGAAGAAGGAUAGAGGUAGUAACUGGGCAUUAUUUGACGGUAAUAAAACAGGAAGCCACGGCUAACUACGUG
rnacentral:rRNA from 1 species